UACCCGCUGAACUUAAGCAUAUCAAUAAGCGGAGGAAAAGAAACCAACAGGGAUUGCCUCAGUAACGGCGAGUGAAGCGGCAACAGCUCAAAUUUGAAAUCUGACCCCUUCGGGGCCCGAGUUGUAAUUUGUAGAGGACGCUUCGGGUGCGGCGCCGGUCUAAGUUCCUUGGAACAGGACGUCAUAGAGGGUGAGAAUCCCGUAUGCGACCGGCGGUCAACCUCAUGUGAAGCCCCUUCGACGAGUCGAGUUGUUUGGGAAUGCAGCUCAAAAUGGGUGGUAAAUUUCAUCUAAAGCUAAAUACCGGCCAGAGACCGAUAGCGCACAAGUAGAGUGAUCGAAAGAUGAAAAGCACUUUGGAAAGAGAGUCAAACAGUACGUGAAAUUGUUGAAAGGGAAGCGCUUGCAACCAGACCUGCCCGCGGGCGAUCAGCCGUUAUUCUUAGCGGUGCACUCGUCCGCGAUCAGGCCAGCAUCGGUUCGGGCGGCCGGAUAAAGGCUUCGGGAAUGUAGCUCCCCCCGGGGAGUCUUAUAGCCCGGGGUGCAAUGCGGCCAGCCCGGACCGAGGACCGCGCUUCGGCUAGGAUGCUGGCGUAAUGGUUGUAAGCGACCCGUCUUGAAACACGGACC
rnacentral:rRNA from 1 species